GCCUGGCCCUCUUAGGAGAUGAGACAACAGCCUGGCAACGGCUGGAACUUCCCAGAUGGCGAGGUGGCCUUCUUUCACACCUGAUGCAGAUUUGCAUCCCUGGACAGCCGAGAGACGCAGAUCGAUUCUAUCUGUGGUGGAGCGCUCCAUAGUAGGUGAGGGGGUUCCCACAGGAAGGUGAGUUGCCGUUUGUGUUUGCAGGGCAAGUGUAACAGGGUGGCUCUGUUCCACUGUUGUUCUGUCCUCGUUUUUAGGAGGUAAAGCCGGAUCUCAGCAGUCAAUGUCAAGUGA